UCACAGUGAAAAAGAGUCGAAACAGCUCCUCCUACCUCCGCACGAAAACACAUGGCUAUCAAAUAACAAGGAUUAUCCUGUAGUAAAGGGAAUAGACUACUCCCUCCAACAUAGAGACCGGGAUUCAUCGGUGGAAAUUACAGCCAGACCAACUUUGGCUCAACAUCAGGGGGAGCUUUGGAACCACUCGUGGAUCUUUUCAGCUAUUCCCAGGAAUCAUGUGGUUUGAUACUUCCUAAAUUUUCCUCUGCACUACCUGAGCACAAAACAAUGCAAUGAUGGGAAAGAACACGUUCUUUCUUUGAAUGAAAUUCACAUUUAUUCUGAGAGCAAGACUUCUGGGGUUUGUCUGUGACCCUAAUGAUGAAUCCAAAGACUGUGCAAGAGAAAAUAAAAGACAGGUCUUGCUUAAGGGCCUUUCUUACAUUCUUGAAUGCAGACCAUCUGGGUCCCUCCACAGAGAACUGCCUGCUGCCUCUCGCAGAGAAGAGAGCUCCAGCAACCACAGGUGCCUGCAGGUUCCUCAGACUUCCAGAGUGUUCCAGGGAAGGGACUGCUGCUGACGUUGCGCUGCAAGAGCAGUCCUGAGUUUCAACCACAUUUUCAGUUAUGACUUCUUCAAAAGAGAGCAUCUGAAAAACACAAGAUCAUUUCUACUCACAUGAAAACACAUUCAACAGAGAAAAAACAAAAUCUCUGUCCAGAGACGUGCUUUAUUUCCAUCCUACAUUCGGACAAACCCAUUAACACUGCAGGUGGCUUGCGAGGAUAGACCCCCAGGCUGAGACAGGCGUAUGGCUGAGAUUUUCAAAGUUACCACGUCGCGGCCGGGCGCGGUGGCUCACGCCUGUCAUCCCAGCACUUUGGGAGGCCGAGGCGGGCGGAUCAUGAGGUCAGGAGACGAGACCAUCCUAGCUAACACGGUGAAACCCUGUCUCUACUAAAAAUACAAAAA